ACAUCGACCAUAGCUCAGUGGCAGAGCGGUGGGGCGUUUACCCAUGCGGCCCGGGUUCGAUUCCCGGUCGAUGUA